rnacentral:rRNA from 1 species
GACGAACGCUGGCGGCGUGCCUAAUACAUGCAAGUCGAACGCAGUGGGGACGGGUGAGUAACACGUGGGUAACCUCCCAUCAGAGGGGAUAACACUUGGAAACAGGUGCUAAACCGAUACUGAUGGAUGGACCCGCGGUGCAUUAGCUAGUUGGUGAGGUAACGGCUCACCAAGGCCACGAUGCAUAGCCGACCUGAGAGGGUGAUCGGCCACACUGGGACUGAGACACGGCCCAGACUCCUACGGGAGGCAGCAGUGGGGAAUUUUGGACAAUGGGGGAAACCCUGAUCCAGCCAUCCCGCGUGUAUGAUGAAGGCCUUCGGGUUGUAAAGUACUUUUGGCAGAGAAGCGGUAUCUGCAGAAUAAGCACCGGCUAACUACGUGCCAGCAGCCGCGGUAAUAC